rnacentral:rRNA from 1 species
AUUGAACGCUGGCGGCAUGCCUUACACAUGCAAGUCGAACGGCAGCACGGGAGCAAUCCCGGUGGCGAGUGGCGAACGGGUGAGUAAUAUAUCGGAACGUGCCCAGUCGUGGGGAUAACGUAGCGAAAGCUACGCUAAUACCGCAUACGAUCUAUGGAUGAAAGCGGGGGAUCGCAAGACCUCGCGCGAUUGGAGCGGCCGAUAUCAGAUUAGGUAGUUGGUGAGGUAAAGGCUCACCAAGCCGACGAUCUGUAGCUGGUCUGAGAGGACGACCAGCCACACUGGGACUGAGACACGGCCCAGACUCCUACGGGAGGCAGCAGUGGGGAAUAUUGGACAAUGGGCGCAAGCCUGAUCCAGCCAUGCCGCGUGUGUGAAGAAGGCCUUCGGUGUAAAGCACUUCUAGCGAGGAGGAGGGUAGUAGUAUAGCUGC